CUCCUCCUCUCUGUGGAAUCACCAUGUGAGCCCGGGAAGACAGGACGCUUGCCGCUGGCGUCUGCUAAGUCUUAUAAAAUAUAUAGAUUUAUGAUGAUUAAGACUGAGCUAGCAGAUGAGAAAUCGUAGUCAUUGGCCAAGCAGCAUUUGUACCUAAUACACACUGCUGCUCUCCGUGACAGCUGCUCAGGGUCACCCCUGCCACAGGGGCUUUGCAGCUGGGUGUGUGUCUAUGCACCAUGUGUGAGCAUUGUUUGUGGAGGACAGAAGACGGCCUAGGAUUCCCGGGUCCCCAGGGAGGGCUGGAAGCAGACGAGGGUGGCUUAGAUUGUGGGGGCAGUGGCGUCGCGUCCCUCAGCUUCCAGGUGUCUUUGAAGUAGCUGGUUAGACCACUUGCGGAUUACAGAGGUGACGACACAAACCUGCCUGGCUGGCCACGCCCAGGGCCCAGGAGAGCAAGACUCACAACGCAGGACUUCAUUCCCAGCUGUUGGUGUGGUGCUGGGAACUGAACCCAGGGCCGUGUGCACACCAGGCAAGUGCUCUCCUGUUAAGUGACAUCCCCCAGUCCUUCAACUGUGGUGUUCUUCUUGUGGGUGAAGAUCCUUCCAGAGCUGACGUUUCUGUCCAGGCAAAAGCACAUGAAGCUCACAAGAGGAGCCAGGGACUGCAGGGUAUUUGCAAGAUAAAUGGUGGAUUAUGCUACCUAAGCUGGCUGGAGGCGGGGUGAGGGGGGGAGGGGUGGACAGAAAGGAGGAAGCUCACGAAUGUAAGAAAGAUGCCAGACCCGGAGGAGGCCUGAUCCAGGCUGGAAAUGGAUCUUUCCCUCCCCUCCCCUCCCCUUCGCCCCGCCAACCAGCCGAAGACCAAAGCAUCGGAUGCUGAGCUGGAUUCCGAGUUACUGCAGUUGGGGUGGACGGACAAAGCCCAGGUGUGGGAAGGGGUGAGAGGAAAAGGUCACUGGACAUCGGAUGGGAGUCGGGGUGUGCAGCCACGUGAGGAGCAAACACAGCAGGGCUGGCUGCUGACACUUCAGAAGGACGGUCGCAGGCCUGCCUCUUGCCUGGCAUCUGGAAAUGUGUACCCAAAGACAGCCGCUCCCACCCAAUUUCAGAACUGCUAAGAAUGGCUCACUGUCUCUAAACUGUCUGCACAAACAGUGUGGUUUACUUGUGGUUACUUCUGGAAGUGUGGAGUUUGGGUGUAAGUCAGGCGGGGGCUGCUUCCAUAGCCAGGCCUCCCACCCCACCCCCAAAGCUGUGGGCACUGAGCCUUAAGCCUUAGGCAACAUUCCGUCCACUCUUGGUACUGCACUAAAUGCCUGAGAACUGAGCACAUCCCAAGAGGCUCUGCGUCCGAGUCCCCUUUAGGGCUCGGGGCUGGUUUCUUGCACUCCGCACAUAUUCUUUGACUUCUUUGACUGGAACAUACCACAGCCAUAAGGAUGAUGAUUUUGUGGAUUCCUCCACCCCCAGCCGGAGGCCAAAGGCCUCCCAAAGGACGGG
rnacentral:lncRNA from 1 species